AUUGAACGCUGGCGGAAUGCUUUACACAUGCAAGUCGAACGGCAGCACGGGGGCAGCCCUGGUGGCGAGUGGCGAACGGGUGAGUAAUACAUCGGAACGUGCCCGGUCGUGGGGGAUAACGUAUCGAAAGUUACGCUAAUACCGCAUACGAUCUGAGGAUGAAAGCGGGGGACCUUCGGGCCUCGCGCGAUCGGAGCGGCCGAUGUCAGAUUAGGUAGUUGGUGGGGUAAAGGCCUACCAAGCCGACGAUCUGUAGCUGGUCUGAGAGGACGACCAGCCACACGGGGACUGAGACACGGCCCAGACUCCUACGGGAGGCAGCAGUGGGGAAUUUUGGACAAUGGGCGCAAGCCUGAUCCAGCCAUUCCGCGUGCAGGACGAAGGCCUUCGGGUUGUAAACUGCUUUUGUACGGAACGAAAAGGCUCUGGCUAAGACCUGGGGCUCAUGACGGUACCGUAAGAAUAAGCACCGGCUAACUACGUG
rnacentral:rRNA from 1 species